rnacentral:misc_RNA from 1 species
UAAUAAGUGCUUUAUGGCACUUUUUAAAUCCAUAUCCACCUUGUGUGCAAUGUCAGUCGAUCUUCUUCAUGGAGAUCGACCAAACAUCAACCUUUAUUUUUUAACUCUUUGUCUGAAAAAUAUUAUGAGUAAACAAUUCAAAAUA